rnacentral:rRNA from 1 species
CGGUGGAGUAUGUGGUUAAUUCGAUGCAACGCGAAGAACCUUACCUGGUCUUGACAUCCCGGAGACCCUUAGGAAACUAGGGGGUGGCUUCCAUCUGGAAGAAUCUGGAGACAGGUGCUGCAUGGCUGUCGUCAGCUCGUGUCGUGAGAUGUUGGGUUAAGUCCCGCAACGAGCGCAACCCUUGCCUUUAGUUGCCAGCAGUUCGGCUGGGCACUCUAAAGGGACUGCCGGUGUUAAACCGGAGGAAGGUGGGGAUGACGUCAAGUCCUCAUGGCCUUUAUGACCAGGGCUACACACGUACUACAAUGGCCGAUACAAAGGGCAGCGACACUGCGAGGUGAAGCCAAUCCCGUAAAAUCGGUCUCAGUCCGGAUUGGAGUCUGCAACUCGACUCCAUGAAGUUGGAAUCGCUAGUAAUCGUGGAUCAGCAUGCCACGGUGAAUACGUUCCCGGGCCUU